rnacentral:rRNA from 1 species
CCUACGGGAGGCAGCAGUGGGGAAUAUUGCACAAUGGGGGAAACCCUGAUGCAGCGACGCCGCGUGAGCGAUGAAGUAUUUCGGUAUGUAAAGCUCUAUCAGCAGGGAAGAAAAUGACGGUACCUGACUAAGAAGCCCCGGCUAACGCUCCAGCAGCCGCGGUAAU